UUUUAGACCACGUGUCCGGCCCACAUUUUUUCUAUUUUUUUUUCCUUUUUCUUUUCUUUCUUUCUUUCGUUUUCUCACAGUUUCGUAUAUUUUUGUUUUCUCCGUCAGAGGAGAACGAUCCAAAGAGACGACAGAUGCGACUACAUAGGUCCGUCUCGAUCCUCACCGUCGUGUUCUCUCGUCCUCUCCGUCACGAGUGAAUCGAAGAAAACACCACAGACGAAGACUCUCUCGUUCCUCACCGCGUCUUCUCUCGUCGCGAUCGUCCGAAGAAGGAUCGAAAUCCACGAUUUGCGUCUCCUCCGUCGGUCCUAACGGCGACUUCUCCGUCUUCUCUUGUCUCCUCCGUCAGACGAGUGUCUCGGUCCUGUUCGCGUCUCCUCCAUCAUCUCUUCUCAAACCCGUUAGAGAAGAACCGAAACCCACCACAAGCUCUUGUAUUGCUCUUAGUUUUGGAGAAUUGAGUUUAUAUUUUUGUUCCUGCAGGUCAUUUAUCGGAUUAAGCUACCAGGACCUGCAAUAAUAGGAGAGUUCUGUUGCCUGUUAACAAGAGAGGACUGUUACAUUCCCCAAAAACUGAUCUCUGUCAGAAAGUAUCAAGCUUUGAGCUUGAUGAUUCUCUAGUUCAUUGUGUUCUUCCAAGAUUUGAGGUAGAAGAUGGAGCAGUUCAAAGAGAGGAAGUUCGCAGAGAAUGUGGUAAAGGUCAAGAAGAGUGUAAAGUCAUCAGUCAUCAGUCACGGACUUGUGUAGUAAUCACUUGUGCAAUGCUUACGUACCAACUCUUGUAAUCUUGUAUUCUUGCAAACUCUUGUAGUCAUCAGUCAGGACUUGUAAAGCUUUGUGUCUAUAUAAACUUGUGAACUCUUGUAGUCUUGUCUAUAUAAACUUUGUAUACCAAACUUUUAUUCACAACA